GAGCAGGCUGGAUGGUUGCGCGCCUGAAAGGGCGUGAGGAAAGUCCGGGCUCCACAGGGCAGGGCGCCGGGUAACACCCGGUGGAGGCGACUCCAAGGAAAGUGCAACAGAAAUAUACCGCGCCUUCUGGCGUAAGGGUGAAAAGGCGAGGCAAGAGCUCACCGGCGGUAGGGUAACUUACCGUGCAAUGUAAACCCCGUCUGGUGCAAGAUUGAUAUGGGGACAUUUAAUGGCGGCCCGUCAAGUCCUCUGUAAUCGCAUGAGCCAUGCGGUAACGUAUGGCCUAGAUAGAUGACCAUCAAGACAGAACCCGGCUUACAGGCCUGUCU
rnacentral:RNase_P_RNA from 1 species